AUGGACCACAAAUCAGGAAUCUUUCUCUUUAUCAUCUGCUUUAUGGGUGUUGAUGGCCAGACUCUGACAGAAUCAGAUCCAGUGGUUAAAAUACCUGGAGAAUCCCACAAACUGACCUGUACAGCUUCAGGAUUCACAUUUAGUGACCGCUGGAUGUCUUGGAUAAGACAGAGUCCAGGGAAAGGACCGGAGUGGCUCGCUGAUAUCAAUGGUGAUGGUGGCAGCACAUACUACUCCCAGUCAGUUCGAGGCCGUUUUACCAUCUCCAGAGACAACGGCAAACAGCAGGUGUAUUUACAGAUGAACAGCCUGAGAACAGAGGAUUCUGCUGUUUAUUUCUGUGUUCGAGAGGCACAGUGA